rnacentral:rRNA from 1 species
ACGCACGCUGGCGGCGUGCUUAACCCCUUCCAGUCGCACGGAAAGGCCCUGCUUUUGUGGGGUGCUCGAGUGGCGAACGGGUGAGUAACACGUGAGUAACCUGCCCUUGACUUUGGGAUAACUUCAGGAAACUGGGGCUAAUACCGGAUAGGAGCUCCUGCUGCAUGGUGGGGGUUGGAAAGUUUCGGCGGUUGGGGAUGGACUCGCGGCUUAUCAGCUUGUUGGUGGGGUAGUGGCUUACCAAGGCUUUGACGGGUAGCCGGCCUGAGAGGGUGACCGGCCACAUUGGGACUGAGAUACGGCCCAGACUCCUACGGGAGGCAGCAGUGGGGAAUAUUGCACAAUGGGCGGAAGCCUGAUGCAGCAACGCCGCGUGCGGGAUGAAGGCCUUCGGGUUGUAAACCGCUUUCGCCUGUGACGAAGCGUGAGUGACGGUAAUGGGUAAAGAAGCACCGGCUAACUACGUG